rnacentral:lncRNA from 1 species
AGCAGCGUAGCUGAACAUCUUACGGAUGGCCCAGGGCUCCAAAGGCUCGUUUCCUAAGUGAGAGAGAGCCUGGCUGAAGCUGUAUUACCAUUCAUUCUCCAGCCUCCGAAGUCUCAAAGCAUCACUUCCACCAUACUCUAACUGUCAAGACAAACACAAAGGCCCAGAGAAGGGGUCUCACUAUGUUGUCUGGAGUGCUGUGGUGGAGUGGAGUGGCUAUUCACAGAGCCUGUUCUGCUGGGACACAGAAUCACUUGCUCCAUCUCAUACAUUGAUGAUGAUUAAUUUGUAUGUGUACCUUCCAAAAAAGAUGGUUGUGUUUGAAUGGAGGCCUUCUGGACAGGAAAAUAUGGAGAGUGCGUGCUUUGGAUUCAAGACUGGGAAUGAGGGGACCAGAAACCUAUUCUGUGGCUGUUUCUUGUUAGGACUUUCCUAAGCCUCUGGAAAAGUGCAAAGUACAAUUAACAUUUGAGUCUGUCUGAGUCAUGAAGAAAUGGAGAUUACUGAAAAUAAUUCAUUUUGGUAUCUUCUUACAUCCUGAGAGACUAAUCUUUCCAAGUUCAUCUGAGGCUCCUCUUCUCCAUGACAACCUCAUCCAGGGAUUUCUUCCUGUCCUGGUGUUUUAUGACAUGUGGAAGGGGACUGUAGCAGGUGAUCUCCAAAGUCUCUGGAGACUUACUAAUGUGCAUCCUCAUCUCGCUUGUAAGGAUAAUAGCCUUCCUCCAAACCUCACACACUUUUGGAGGAGAUCACUUUUUUUAAAGUGCAUGGAAAUGUUUUGAAACAGUGAAAUCUAUAAUGAUAGGUUUCAUAAUUCUAACAUCCACACCAUAUGAAUCACAUCCUUCCUGAGAUAAUGAGCACACAAUUGCCUGGAUACCUGAAGGAAUGGAGACAGCGGCAGAAAACACUGCAGAGAGGUGGAAACAUCCGUUAAUAUUUUAAAAUCCCAUUACUGCUACCAACAAUAAUAAUGGAUGCAUAGAAAUAGAUCUGGAUUAGCUGAGCUUGAAACAGUCCAUCUCACACACACACAAAAGAAUUUCAGGUAAUGAAGAAAAGAAAAGGAAAAAAAUAA